UUUUCUUGAAAGAUCCCAGUGAGGAGACCCCCACUCAAGUCCCAAGAUUUCGUGUGCACCCAAGGAAUCACGAGAGACC
rnacentral:pre_miRNA from 7 species